AGGGUAACCGUGGUCGGACUGGAGUGGUCAUUGCUGCCUACAUGCAUUACAGCAACAUCUCAGCCAGUGCUGACCAAGCGUUGGACCGAUUCGCGAUGAAGAAAUUCUACGAGGACAAAAUUGUGCCGGUGGGGCAGCCCUCCCAGCGCAGGUAUGUGCAUUAUUUCAGUGGCCUGCUCUCUGGAACCAUCAAGAUGAACAAUAAGCCUUUGUUCUUACAUCACGUCAUCAUGCACGGAAUUCCUGACUUCGACGUUAA